rnacentral:rRNA from 1 species
UCGCUAUAAGAUGGGCCCGCGGCGCAUUAGCUAGUUGGUGAGGUAACGGCUCACCAAGGCGACCAUGCGUAGCCGACCUGAGAGGGUGAUCGGCCACACUGGGACUGAGACACGGCCCAGACUCCUACCGGAGGCAGCAGUAGGGAAUCUUCCACAAUGGGCGAAAGCCUGAUGGAGCAACGCCGCGUGAGUGAAGAAGGAUUUCGGUUCGUAAAACUCUGUUGUAAGGGAAGAACAAGUACAGUAGUAACUGGCUGUACCUUGACGGUACCUUAUUAGAAAGCCACGGCUAACUACGUGCCAGCAGCCGCGGUAAUACGUAGGUGGCAAGCGUUGUCCGGAAUUAUUGGGCGUAAAGCGCGCGCAGGUGGUUUCUUAAGUCUGAUGUGAAAGCCCACGGCUCAACCGUGGAGGGUCAUUGGAAACUGGGAGACUUGAGUGCAGAAGAGGAUAGUGGAAUUCCAAGUGUAACGGUGAAAUGCGUAGAGAU